ACCAGAGUACUAUGAAUGAUCAAAUUUAAAACUCAAAGGACUUGGCGGUGUCUUAGACCACUUAGGGGAACCUGUCUCAUAAUCGACAGUCCACGCUGUACCUGACCUCUUUUUGUGAUCAGUUUGUAUACCGUUGUCGUCAGGUAACUUUUUAGAAAAAUGGAGUUAGCAAUAUAAAGAAAUUAUUUAGUACGUCAAAUCAAGGUGCAGCUAAUAAAGGGGGGAGGAUGGGUUACAAUUAUAUAUUUAUAAUUACGGAAAUAAGUGCAGAAAUGUGUUGUAUAAGGAGGACUUGAAAGUAAAUUAGAAUAGAUAUAUAACUUGAAUGAGGCUCUGAGACGUGU
rnacentral:rRNA from 1 species